CCUACGGGAGGCAGCAGUGAGGAAUAUUGGUCAAUGGACGAGAGUCUGAACCAGCCAAGUAGCGUGAAGGAUGACUGCCCUAUGGGUUGUAAACUUCUUUUAUAUGGGAAUAAAACGUUCCACGUGUGGGAUUUUGUAUGUACCUUAUGAAUAAGGAUCGGCUAACUCCGUGCCAGCAGCCGCGGUAAUACGGAGGAUCCGAGCGUUAUCCGGAUUUAUUGGGUUUAAAGGGAGCGUAGGUGGAUUGUUAAGUCAGUUGUGAAAGUUUGCGGCUCAACCGUAAAAUUGCAGUUGAAACUGGCAGUCUUGAGUACAGUAGAGGUGGGCGGAAUUCGUGGUGUAGCGGUGAAAUGCUUAGAUAUCACGAAGAACUCCGAUUGCGAAGGCAGUUCACUGGACUGCAACUGACACUGAGGCUCGAAAGUGUGGGUAUCAAACAGGAUUAGAUACCCUUGUAGUC
rnacentral:rRNA from 1 species